GAUGAACGCUGGCGGCGUGCCUAAUACAUGCAAGUCGAGCGAACGGACGAUAAGCUUGCUUCUCUGAUGUUAGCGGCGGACGGGUGAGUAACACGUGGAUAACCUACCUAUAAGACUGGGAUAACUUCGGGAAACCGGAGCUAAUACCGGAUAAUAUUUUGAACCGCAUGGUUCAAAAGUGAAAGACGGUCUUGCUGUCACUUAUAGAUGGAUCCGCGCUGCAUUAGCUAGUUGGUAAGGUAACGGCUUACCAAGGCAACGAUGCAUAACCGACGUGAGAGGGGGAUCGGCCACACUGGAACUGAACCACGGUCAAGACGCCUACGGGAGGCAGCAGUAGGGAAUCUUCCGCAAUGGGCGAGAGCCUGACGGAGCAACGCCGCGUGAGUGAUGAAGGUCUUCGGAUCGUAAAACUCGGUUAUUAGGGAAGAACAUAUGUGUAAGGAACUGUGCACAUCGUGACGGUACCUAAUCAGAAAGCCACGGCUAACUACGUG
rnacentral:rRNA from 1 species